rnacentral:rRNA from 1 species
UACGAGGGGAGCUAGCGUUGUUCGGAAUUACUGGGCGUAAAGGGCGUGUAGGCGGUACCAUAAGUCAGAUGUGAAAGCCCUAGGCUUAACCUAGGAGGUGCAUUUGAUACUGUGGAACUAGAGAUCGAGAGAGGAAAGUGGAAUUACGAGUGUAGAGGUGAAAUUCGUAGAUAUUCGUAAGAACCCCAGUGGCGAAGGCGACUUUCUGGCUCGAUACUGACGCUAAGGCGCGAAAGCGUGGGGAGCAAACAGG